rnacentral:lncRNA from 1 species
AGGGUUCAUGUUAGAGUUUUAGUUAUACCUAGCAUUUUCGCCCAUGGGUUGUUGUGAGGUAAAAUACCUAGCAUUUUCUCAUGAUUUUCGUUAUACCCAUUAAUGUUAGAACUAGAAAACCAUAUAAAUUGCUAUGAUUCUUCCUAGGUCCGAAAUUAGGGUUUAUGUUUGGGAUUUGGGGCUUUUGCCAUGGUUUGUUAGAUUUGAGAUAAGUCAAAACUGAGGGGAUGUUGUGCGAUUAAAGAGGUCUUUAUAUGUACAUAAAUAAAAGGUAACAUCUUUUUUAAUGCUAACAAAUUGUAUCGCUUAUUGUGAGGUGUUUAGGUUGGAGCAUGUUUGAACAUCUAUUGAAACUGAUUAAAUUAUAACUGUUUGUGAAUGUGGACUAUAAUUGUUAGCUUGGACUAUGAGACCAGUUGGAAGUCAUAAUUAGAAGUUCUCUCAAUAAGUUGAAGCAGCUUCGGCACCAAAUAAAUCUUGAAAAUUGAUCCCGUGUCAUUAGUUUUGAAAAUUAAACAGAGAAAAAAGAAAGAAUAGCCUUUUCUUUCCAUGAACCUAUGCUUCUGUAUAGAACAUGCUUGGAUAUAAAUCAAAUAUUUGAUGCCAGAACUCAUUCUUAUAAAGUUAUAUUGCAAGGUGUUAAUUUGAUGUCCUGGAAGCUCAUCCCUGCCACGACAUGUGUAGUCUACUUAGUUUUCUUAAUUAAUAGCCUAAAUUAGUUGCUGCCUGUUUUAGUUUUUGUUAUUUUUUUCUUACAUGUCACUGGAAAUUCUAUUAGUGUACUUGAUUUUAUUUGUUUUUUGUCUCCACGAAGGUGUCGUUUUCUUUUAGUUGGUCUAUCAUAAUUUUUUAUGCAUCUUAAACAAUUGCUUGAUUCGGAGCAUUCCAAUCUCUUUAACUCCCUAUUACUUUUGUUGCCCAUUUUAGAGAUGGAACCUGAACCCUUAGGAAGAUGACUUGCUUCAAUAACUGUCAAAAUAGCCAUAAACUGUUCCUCAAAACCCACACACGAAACCCCCAAUACUUGAUGGAUCUCCUUCACUCUUUGCAAGACCUAAUCUGAAUACUCCGACCUUGAGCGACCAGAUUUUCCCAUCACGGCGGGGGAGAUAGGAGCUAAGGGGAGUUAAAUUCUCCUUGAUAAAAUUAAAACCUAAGAUAAAUUCCUUAAUAACAAAUUUGAAAUCUUAUAAACUAAAAUCCCCAACUAAUCAUCAGCACCCUAAAUAUCAAAAUUAUUAUUUCAUCCAUAAAAUAUUACAGUUCUGUGUUAACCUAAAAAAUUAAAACCUCAUUAUUUUGGGUGCUACAGUACAGUUGACAGCAGCAUUUAUUCUCUUAAGUAACUUAUCACAAGUCAAAAUUCUGUGGUGUAGCUGUCCACGCCAUACAAGAGACACAGAACAUCAUAUUUCCUUCCAAGAAAGAAAACCUUCAACCUGAAGCAUUCACUAUAAAUAAGGAUUUGUUGUUGAUUUUUGUUUGUUUUGUAAUUGAUUUGUAUUAGCAUUUUAGCUAGCUGAUUGGGAGAUUUAAGACCGAAGAAAGCAGUUCGUGAAUUGGUGACUUGCAAUGAAAUUGGGGAGAAGAGGGACUUGCACAAAAUGGCCCAUUAACUGGACAAUAUGAUAGUUAACAUUCACCUGAAUGAUUUAACCUCACAUAUGUAAAUUCUAGGUAAUUCCCAACCAGAAACAUCCAUUCUUCCUAUCUAAUCCAUGCCGCAUACAAUCUAAGAAAACUAAUUUGCUCUCUGAAAAUAAUUGAAUGUCUUAAUUAAUGGAAAGCUGAGACAAAAGAGAGAGACAUGGUAAACCAUGUGAAAAAAAGAAUAUGUGUGUCAUACUCACGUUGAGUCACAUGGUGCAAGCACGUCGUGUAAAGACUCAAUUUUUUUUUCCCCCUGAAUCAUGUAUAAUUUGCAUAGGAAAUUUCCUUUUAGGCUGGAUUACAAGUAGUAAACAUACAUGUGACUGAUUCAAAGUCAUCUUGGCAUUUGGGUGCUACAGUACAGUUGACAGCAGCAUUUAUUCUCUUAAGUAACUUAUCAACUCAUUCUUAUAAAGUUUAAGGAUUUGUUGUUGAUUUUUGUUUGUUUUGUAAUUGAUUUGUAUUAGCAUUUUAGCUAGCUGAUUGGGAGAUUUAAGACCGAAGAAAGCAGUUCGUGAAUUGGUGACUUGCAAUGAAAUUGGGGAGAAGAGGGACUUGCACAAAAUGGCCCAUUAACUGGACAAUAUGAUAGUUAACAUUCACCUCCCCAAUACUUGAUGGAUCUCCUUCACUCUUUGCAAGACCUAAUCUGAAUACUCCGACCUUGAGCGACCAGAUUUUCCCAUCACGGCGGGGGAGAUAGGAGCUAAGGGGAGUUAAAUUCUCCUUGAUAAAAUUAAAACCUAAGAUAAAUUCCUUAAUAACAAAUUUGAAAUCUUAUAAACUAAAAUCCCCAACUAAUCAUCAGCACCCUAAAUAUCAAAAUUAUUAUUUCAUCCAUAAAAUAUUACAGUUCUGUGUUAACCUAAAAAAUUUAAACUAAAAUCCCCAACUAAUCAUCAGCACCCUAAAUAUCAAAAUUAUUAUUUCAUCCAUAAAAUAUUACAGUUCUGUGUUAACCUAAAAAAUUAAAACCUCAUUAUUUUGGGUGCUACAGUACAGUUGACAGCAGCAUUUAUUCUCUUAAGUAAUUCAUGUUAGAGUUUUAGUUAUACCUAGCAUUUUCGCCCAUGGGUUGUUGUGAGGUAAAAUACCUAGCAUUUUCUCAUGAUUUUCGUUAUACCCAUUAAUGUUAGAACUAGAAAACCAUAUAAAUUGCUAUGAUUCUUCCUAGGUCCGAAAUUAGGGUUUAUGUUUGGGAUUUGGGGCUUUUGCCAUAACCU